rnacentral:rRNA from 1 species
UACGGAGGGAGCUAGCGUUGUUCGGAAUUACUGGGCGUAAAGCGCACGUAGGCGGCUAUUCAAGUCGGUGGUGAAAGCCCGGGGCUCAACCCCGGAACUGCCCUCGAAACUAGAUAGCUAGAAUCUUGGAGAGGCGAGUGGAAUUCCGAGUGUAGAGGUGAAAUUCGUAGAUAUUCGGAAGAACACCAGUGGCGAAGGCGACUCGCUGGACAAGUAUUGACGCUGAGGUGCGAAAGCGUGGGGAGCAAACAGG